rnacentral:misc_RNA from 1 species
UUUUUUUUUUUUUUUUUUCUUUGUGCAAUAUCUUUAAUCUUUACACUAAUUUAGCUUUCUCCUUCAUUUGACUUAUUGUUCACUUUCUAUCACUUUACAAUCUUCAUUAAUUAUCCUCAUUCUCAUCGUGGUUCUAUAGAAAUUAAUUAGUUUCAUUCAUACCCGAAAAGGGUAUUGAUACCCUUUUGCUUUCUUUCUGCUCUGCUAUUAUUUUAUCAUAAAUAUAUCAGG